UUCGGAUGGAAUUGAUAAGUUCUAGCGGCGGACGGGUGAGUAACGCGUGAGCAACCUGCCCUCCACAGGGGGAUAACGCACCGAAAGGUGCACUAAUACCGCAUAAGACCACGUUUCUGACAUGGGAAUGAGGUCAAAGGAGCAAUCCGGUGGAAGAUGGGCUCGCGUCUGAUUAGCUAGUUGGUGAGGUAACGGCCCACCAAGGCGACGAUCAGUAGCCGACCUGAGAGGGUGAUCGGCCACAUUGGAACUGAGACACGGUCCAAACUCC
rnacentral:rRNA from 1 species